rnacentral:rRNA from 1 species
UACGUAGGUGGCAAGCGUUGUCCGGAAUUAUUGGGCGUAAAGAGCUCGUAGGCGGCUUGUUGCGUCGGCUGUGAAAACCCGCGGCUUAACCGCGGGCCUGCAGCCGAUACGGGCAGGCUAGAGUUCGGUAGGGGAGACUGGAAUUCCUGGUGUAGCGGUGGAAUGCGCAGAUAUCAGGAGGAACACCGAUGGCGAAAGCGACACACUGGACCUUGUCUGACGCUGAGGCACGAAAGCCAGGGGAGCAAACGGG